AACGAACGCUGGCGGCAUGCCUAACACAUGCAAGUCGAACGCGUGUAGCAAUACACGAGUGGCGGACGGGUGAGUAACGCGUGGGAACCUGCCCAAUGGAAGGGAAUAACUGCGGGAAACUGCAGCUAAUACCCUAUGCUCCCUACGGGGGAAAGAUUUAUCGCCAUUGGAGGGGCCCGCGUCGGAUUAGCUAGUUGGCGGGGUAACGGCCCACCAAGGCUACGAUCCGUAGCUGGUCUGAGAGGAUGAUCAGCCACACUGGGACUGAGAUACGGCCCAGACUCCUACGGGAGGCAGCAGUGGGGAAUAUUGGACAAUGGGGGAAACCCUGAUCCAGCAAUGCCGCGUGAGUGAAGAAGGCCUUAGGGUUGUAAAGCUCUUUCGGCGGGACGAUGGUGACGGUACCCGCAGAAGAAGCCCCGGCUAACUUCGUGCCAGCAGCCGCCGUAAG
rnacentral:rRNA from 1 species